rnacentral:rRNA from 1 species
AUCAAGCUUAUCGAUACCGUCCAAGUCUUAAGAGGGCCUUAAGUCAGUAGGAGUAGACCCGAAACCGGGUGAUCUAUCCAUGUCCAGGUUGAAGCUGCCGUAAGAGGUAGUGGAGGACCGAACCCACAUCCGUUGAAAAGGGUGGGGAUGAGGUGUGGAUAGGGGAGAAAUUCCAAUCGAACCCGGAGAUAGCUGGUUCUCCUCGAAAUAGCUUUAGGGCUAGCCUCGAUACAGAUUUGCGGAGGUAGAGCACUGAAUUUCCUAGGGGGCGUCAAAGCCUACCGAAGAAUAUCAAACUCCGAAUGCCGCGUAAUCGAUUAUCGGGAGUCAGACUGCACGAGAUAAGUUGGGCGGUCAAAAGGGAAAGAGCCCAGACCUUCAGUUAAGGUCCCCAAGUGCGCGUUAAGUGGAAAAGGAUGUGGGAUUUCGAAGACAACCAGGAUGUUGGCUCAGAAGCAGCCAUCCAUUCAAAGAGUGCGUAAUAGCUCACUGGUCGAGAGGUCCUGCGCCGAAAAUGUCCGGGGCUGAAACGCGCCACCGAAACUAAGGAACCGAAAGGUUGGUAGAGGAGCAUUGCAUGCGGGAAGAAGCAGUACCGUAAGGAGCUGUGGACUGCAUGGAAGAGAGAAUGCCGGAAUGAGUAGCGAGAAUAAGGUGAGAAUCCUUAUGGCCGAAUAUCCAAGGUUUCCAGAGUAAAGCUGAUCUGCUCUGGGUAAGUCGGGGCCUAAGGCGAGGACGAGAGUCGUAGCCGAUGGACAACAGGUGGAGAUUCCUGUACUGCGGUAUGACAGAACUGUGGGGACACGUAAGGAAAGCGGAAGCCGGGAAUGGAAAGCCCGGUGCAAGCGGGGUACCAGUCACUUUGGCAAAUCCGGGUGGCAAUGGGAAGCCGUGAUGCGGAGCGAAAUAAAGUAGCGAAGUCCGUGAGCCAUGCGUCAAGAAAAGCCGCUAUCGUUUAUACCGUACCCGUACCGUAAACCGACACAGGUGGAUGAGGAGAGAAUCCUAAGGCCGGCGGAAGAAGCAUUGUCAAGGAACUCGGCAAAAUGGCCCCGUAACUUAGGGAUAAGGGGUGCCUGGGAAACCAGGCCGCAGAGAAUAGGCUCAAGCAACUGUUUAGCAAAAACACAGGUCUAUGCGAAACCGAAAGGUGAGGUAUAUGGGCUGACGCCUGCCCGGUGCUGGAAGGUUAAGAGGAGAGGUUAGCGGUAACGCGAAGCUUUGAAUUUAAGCCCCAGUAAACGGCGGCCGUAACUAUAACGGUCCUAAGGUAGCGAAAUUCCUUGUCGGGUAAGUUCCGACCCGCACGAAAGGCGUAAUGAUUUGAGCGCUGUCUCGACAAUGCAUCCGGUGAAAUUGAAGUACCAGUGAAGAUGCUGGUUACCUGCGCCAGGACGGAAAGACCCCAUGGAGCUUUACUCCAGUCUGGUACUGGGACUCGGUAUUGCAUGUACAGGAUAGGUGGGAGGCUAGGAGAUGGUAACGCCAGUUGCCAUGGAGCCGCUGUUGGGAUACCACCCUUGCAGUAUUGGGUUUCUAACCAGCCGCCGUGACCCGGCGGUGGGACAAUGCCAGACGGGGAGUUUGACUGGGGCGGUCGCCUCCGAAAGGGUAUCGGAGGCGCCCAAAGGUUCCCUCAGAAUGGACGGAAACCAUUCGAAGAGUGCAAAGGCAGAAGGGAGCUUGACUGCGACACCGACGGGUGGAGCAGGUACGAAAGUAGGGCUUAGUGAUCCGGUGGUAUUAAGUGGGAAUGCCAUCGCUCAACGGAUAAAAGCUACCCUGGGGAUAACAGGCUUAUCACUCCCAAGAGUUCACAUCGACGGAGUGGUUUGGCACCUCGAUGUCGGCUCAUCGCAUCCUGGGGCUGUAGUAGGUCCCAAGGGUUGGGCUGUUCGCCCAUUAAAGCGGUACGCGAGCUGGGUUCAGAACGUCGUGAGACAGUUCGGUCCCUAUCCGGCGUGGGCGUAGGAUAUCUGAGAGGAGCUGUCCUUAGUACGAGAGGACCGGGAUGGACGGGCCGCUGGUGCAUCGGUUAGACUGCCAAGUCUACGGCCGAGUAGCCAAGCCCGGAAGGGAUAAACGCUGAAGGCAUCUAAGCGUGAAGCCCCCCUUAAGAUGAGAUAUCCCAUUCGAAAGAAGUAAACCCCCUUGAAGACGACGAGGUAGAUAGGGCAGAGGUGGAAGUGCAGCAAUGCAUGGAGCUGACUGUUACUAAUCGGGUGAGGGCUUGACCAA